rnacentral:snoRNA from 1 species
CUGGAUAUGAUGCAUCUAAAACAUCUGAUUAAUCAUGAAGGUGUUUGUAUUCAUACUGUCUGAUCCAG